UACGUAGGGUGCAAGCGUUAUCCGGAAUUAUUGGGCGUAAAGAGCUCGUAGGCGGUUUGUCGCGUCUGCUGUGAAAACUGGAGGCUCAACCUCCAGCCUGCAGUAGGUACGGGCAAACUAGAGUGCGGUAGGGGAGAUUGGAAUUCCUGGUGUAGCGGUGGAAUGCGCAGAUAUCAGGAGGAACACCGAUGGCGAAGGCAGAUCUCUGGGCCGUAACUGACGCUGAGGAGCGAAAGCAUGGGGAGCGAACAGG
rnacentral:rRNA from 1 species